CAAAAACAUAAUUUUAAUUAGGAUGAACUUUGUCCAAUUCCUGUGUCCACUGUGCACAUACAGGUUCUUCAAAACUACCUUAGUUUUAUGCCAUUAAUUGGUCCAGAAAUUCUUCAUAUGACUUUCAGAAUCUUCUUUAAACUCACAUACACACACAAUCACACAUUCUUCCUACUGGUUACGAUAGUGAUAUGUUCAAAGAUGCUGUUCAGUAGAGAGAAACUGAGUUCUAUUUUUAAAAUCAAACAAAAAUGCAGGUAUUACUAUAAAAAUAGCCUCCCCCCUUGUGGCAAAAAAUGAAAGUACAUUUUACUGGAGCAUCCUAAUAUAGAGGCACUUAGUAUUACUCCUUAUAAAGUAUUUUCACAGAAUUUCAAGUGAAUCCUCUAAAUAGCACAAAGUAUUUGCAAAAAAUAUACUUAGAGGUAGUUUCACAGGUCUCUUUAAGGUCAGCACUGUCCAGGUUCUGUUUAGACAAUAUUCUCUAUAGCAAAAAGCUGCAGAUUUGAGAGAAUUGCCACAACAAAAUACCAGAGUUCAAAGGAACUAAAUUUACCCACAGUAUAAAAAAUUAAAAUGAUAGGUAAAAAGGGAUGGUCUCACUUAAAGGCAUCUGCCUAUUUAAGAUUACAGGGGCAUCAAGAAGGCUUUCUACCUCUUAAAAGUUUAAUCUAGAAAAUCUGAAAGUCCACCAUUGGAGAUUAAUUCCUUGGAGUUGGUUCCAUCCAAUCUUCAGACUUAGAGUAUUAGUAUAAAGAUACACUGGAAGGGAUAAGACAUUUUCCUUCAUUUAAGAUUGCUAAUUGUGAAAAUAAAAUCGGAGCUAUAAAUAAAUGAAACUUAAUUUACUCAUUGCAGAAUCCUAGCCCUAUUCUUAACUCUCCACACUUCUUUCUAUUAAGUCACCAGUCACUGAUAAUUCUAUGUUUUACUGACCUUCCCGUGAUUAUAAAGUAAUUUAAGUGGUUUUUCAAAGUAAACUUAAUUCCAGUUUCAGACUUUUAAAUUAAAAGUGGCUCAGUUGGAUACUGUUUCUUCAACAUAGUAAUAUAAAUAUUAGUAUCUUGGCUAAAAUGAAUUAUUGACAAUUUUAAUACAUGUUGCACAGUACAUAUUAAUAUAGAAAAAUACAUGUUAUCAGCAGCAUAAUGUUGACCAUGUUCUAAUCCAUUCCACCUGCUCAAAUAUUAGUGCAAAUAAUUAUAUAUUUGUAAUGCAUCACUGCUGUCUAGCACAAAUCUAUGCCUUCUGAAUAAAUGACUUUCCUCUGAG
rnacentral:lncRNA from 1 species